AUUGAACGCUGGCGGCAGGCCUAACACAUGCAAGUCGAACGGUAACAGGGAUCAGCUUGCUGAUUCGCUGACGAGUGGCGGACGGGUGAGUAAUGUCUGGGAAACUGCCUGAUGGAGGGGGAUAACUACUGGAAACGGUAGCUAAUACCGCAUAACGUCGCAAGACCAAAGAGGGGGACCUUCGGGCCUCUUGCCAUCGGAUGUGCCCAGAUGGGAUUAGCUAGUAGGUGGGGUAACGGCUCACCUAGGCGACGAUCCCUAGCUGGUCUAAGAGGAUGACCAGCCACACUGGAACUGAGACACGGUCCAGACUCCUACGGGAGGCAGCAGUGGGGAAUAUUGCACAAUGGGCGCAAGCCUGAUGCAGCCAUGCCGCGUGUAUGAAGAAGGCCUUCGGGUUGUAAAGUACUUUCAGCGGGGAGGAAGGGAGUAAAGUUAAUACCUUUGCUCAUUGACGUUACCCGCAGAAGAAGCACCGGCUAACUCCGUG
rnacentral:rRNA from 1 species